UAAAUUACAAUGAAAGGGACUUGGGCCCUAGUAAGUGAUAAAAUUGAAACGUACAAGUCAAUAAUUAUGCUGAUGUUGAACCAAAAUCCUAAAUAGUCCUCACCCCACACACAUAUCAUCAUCUUUGGUCAGUCUGGUGAGAUGGAGUACGAACAACAUCGAUUGUUUGCGUGGCACCUGGCACCUUCAAAGCCACAACUUCCACUUUCAACAAAAGGACAGCAAGUUUGAGUUGUCUAAUUUGUGUGCACACAUUUUUCAACUAAGCAUUAGGUUUUGCCAUCUGUCCAGCCUUAGUACCAACCCAUCAAAUGUUCUAAUAGAGAUGGGUUCACGUUUGUCAGCAACCCUACUCAAUUUUUUUUUUUUUUUUAUGAAUCAACCCUAGUCAAUGUGAGAAAGGGAAAAUAGGAUUCUCCUCCCAUUUGUAGUCUCUUAUCAGCGGUAGUAAAGUCCUUAGGGCAGCUCAGUUGCCCAUGUUUAGGUGUUGAUAAAGCUGCUUCUAAUGGUGGCCUCAGAAUUUGAAAGGCUACUACUAUUGCUCCUCCCCAGCAUUGUAUUCGUAGUCUUGAUUUUCUUUUUUUAAAGGAAAAGAUAAAUACUUAUUAACAUAUAUAAGGUUUAGAAUUUUCGAGAGGCUGUGGGAUUCGCCAUGGAUUCAUAUCAAGUGAUUGGGAAAAAUUGGAGUUGGAAGAGGAAAAUGUGACAGCAUGAUGUGAUGUUUGGCUAGAGAAUUUGGACUAGGUUUGCUCUUUCUUUCCUAUGUAUAUCAAUUUGAACCAUGAUACUCUUUUUCUUUUAAUAAAGAAAACUAUGACUCUUUUUUUAGAAAGAAAAACUAUGAGACAUGAAUAUAACUAUAAAUAUGAGUGUAAGGUUUAUUUUGAAAAACCAGCAAUAAUAUAAGUUGUGGUAUGUCAAUCUAAAAAUAAAUAUGGACUGUAUCGUGUCAAUAUUUUGUAAGGUAAGCCUACACAGUUCGUGAAUUGAUCUUUUCGUGUUAUGUUCAAA